rnacentral:sRNA from 1 species
GCCGCACAAGCCGCAGUGAGUCCCUGGUGCUCCCGGCCUCGCCAGGGCCCUAACCCUGGGGCGGCAUGUUUUGGUGUCUGGGAGCAGAGCCUGGAAAUGGUUGAGACUACCCUGCCACGAUUUUGCUCCCGCUCCCGCCUAGGUUCACGUUUACCUCCGAACCGCAUGCACAACUGGAGGAGAACUUCUGCCGGAACCCAGAUGGGGAUAGCCAUGGGCCCUGGUGCUACACGAUGGACCCAAGAACCCCAUUCGACUACUGUGCCCUGCGACGCUGCGCUGAUGACCAGCCGCCAUCAAUCCUGGACCCCCCAGACCAGGUGCAGUUUGAGAAGUGUGGCAAGAGGGUGGAUCGGCUGGAUCAGCGUCGUUCCAAGCUGCGCGUGGUUGGGGGCCAUCCAGGCAACUCACCCUGGACAGUCAGCUUGCGGAAUCGGUGAGGCACAACUGCCUGUCUCCCACACAGAGGAGCUGAGGUUGUGUCCUCUGUGGUUAUCCCACUGGGGGUUGGUAAUCUAUCCCUGCCCCCAGAGGUCCUAGCCAGAAGAUGGCAGGUCUAGCAUCUGUCCCAGGAGUCUGUUUCCUGUCCUAAUUCCCCACUCCUCUAGGCAGGGCCAGCAUUUCUGCGGGGGGUCUCUAGUGAAGGAGCAGUGGAUACUGACUGCCCGGCAGUGCUUCUCCUCCUGGUGAGCCUCCCUUGUGUUUGGGGACCCAGUCUCAUCCCACCUUCCCCCUUCCCCAGGCAAACUAACAAGUGAGCCUUGGGGCAACGGACUGAGUCACAAAUGACCUAGCAGAGCUUCUCUCCCAGCCAUAUGCCUCUCACAGGCUAUGAGGUAUGGUUGGGCACCC